rnacentral:rRNA from 1 species
GACGAACGCUGGCGGCGUGCCAAAUACAUGCAAGUCGAACGCUUCUUUCCUCCCGAGUGCUUGCACUCAAUUGGAAAGAGGAGUGGCGGACGGGUGAGUAACACGUGGGUAACCUACCCAUCAGAGGGGGAUAACACUUGGAAACAGGUGCUAAUACCGCAUAACAGUUUAUGCCGCAUGGCAUAAGAGUGAAAGGCGCUUUCGGGUGUCGCUGAUGGAUGGACCCGCGGUGCAUUAGCUAGUUGGUGAGGUAACGGCUCACCAAGGCCACGAUGCAUAGCCGACCUGAGAGGGUGAUCGGCCACACUGGGACUGAGACACGGCCCAGACUCCUACGGGAGGCAGCAGUAGGGAAUCUUCGGCAAUGGACGAAAGUCUGACCGAGCAACGCCGCGUGAGUGAAGAAGGUGUUCGGAUCGUAAAACUCUGUUGUUAGAGAAGAACAAGGACGUUAGUAACUGAACGUCCCCUGACGGUAUCUAACCAGAAAGCCACGGCUAACUACGUG